CCGACACGGGGAGGUAGUGACGAAAAAUAACAAUACAGGACUCAAACGAGGCCCUGUAAUUGGAAUGAGUACAUUCUAAAACUCUUAACGAGUAUCCAUUGGAGGGCAAGUCUGGUGCCAGCAGCCGCGGUAAUUCCAGCUCCAACAGUGUAUGCUAAAGUUGUUGCGGUUGAAAAGCUCGUAGUUGGAUUUUGGGCGGGCGCGGUCGGUCCGCCGCAGGGCGUGUUACUGGCUGCGGCCGCCUCGAGCUUCGGUUCUCCGUCGGUGCUCUUGACUGAGUGUCGGCGGUGGCCGAGAAGUUUACUUUGAAAAAAUUAGAGUGUUCAAAGCAGGCUGCUCGCCUGAAUAGUGUUGCAUGGAAUAAUGGAAUAGGACCUCGGUUCUAUUUUGUUGGUUUUCGGAGCGCGAGGUAAUGAUUAACAGGGACAGACGGGGGCGUCCGUACUCUGCCGUUAGAGGUGAAAUUCUUGGAUCGGCGGAAGACGAACUACUGCGAAAGCAUUCGCCAAGAAUGUUUUCUUUAAUCAAGAGCGAAAGUCAGAGGUUCGAAGACGAUCAGAUACCGUCCUAGUUCUGACUAUAAACGAUGCCAACUAGCGAUCGGGAGGCGUUACCAUGACGACCUUCCCGGCAGCUUCCGGGAAACCAAAGUCUUUGGGUUCCGGGGGAAGUAUGGUUGCAAAGCUGAAACUUAAAGGAAUUGACGGAAGGGCACCACCAGGAGUGGAGCCUGCGGCUUAAUUUGACUCAACACGGGGAAACUCACCCGGCCCGGACACAGGUAGGAU
rnacentral:rRNA from 1 species